rnacentral:rRNA from 1 species
UACGGAGGGUGCAAGCGUUGUCCGGAAUCACUGGGCGUAAAGGGCGCGUAGGCGGCUCGGUAAGUAGGGGGUGAAAUCCUGCGGCUUAACCGCAGGGCUGCCUUCUAAACUGUCGAGCUCGAGCACGGUAGAGGCAGAUGGAAUUCCCGGUGUAGCGGUGGAAUGCGUAGAGAUCGGGAAGAACAUCAAUUGCGAAGGCAGCUCGCUGGGACGGUACUGACGCUGAGGCGCGAAAGCGUGGGGAGCGAACAGG